rnacentral:misc_RNA from 1 species
UGAAGUUGCAAAACAAUUUGGAUUAAUUAGUGCUGCAUUUUUCACACAAAAUUGUGUAGUGGAUAAUCUUUAUUACCAUGUACAUAAAGGGGUGAUAAAACUUCCACCUACUCAAAAUGACGAAGAAAUAUUAAUUCCUGGAUUUCCAAAUUCGAUCGAUGCAUCAGAUGUACCUUCUUUUGUUAUUAGUCCUGAAGCAGAAAGGAUAGUUGAAAUGUUAGCAAAUCAAUUCUCAAAUCUUGACAAA